rnacentral:rRNA from 1 species
ACAGAGACCUCAAGCGUUAUCCGGAAUCAUUGGGCGUAAGGCGUACCGAUAGGUGGUUUUACAAGUCAGAAGUGAAAUCUCUCAGCUUAACUGGGAGACUGUCUUUUGAAACUGUAAAACUAGAGGGGCAAAGAGGAAGCCGGAACGAACGGUGUAGUAGUGAAAUGCGUUGAUAUCGUUCGGAACACCAAUAGCGUAGGCAGGCUUCUGGGUGCCACCUGACACUGCUAGGACGAAAGCGUGGGGAGCGAAUGGGA